CGGUCCUCGUGCGAUCACUGAGGUUAAGCAAGGUCGAGCCUGGUUAGUAACUAGAUGGGUGACCGUCUGGGAAGACCAGGUGUU